AUUGAACGCUGGCGGCAUGCUUUACACAUGCAAGUCGAACGGGCUGGGGGCAACUCCAGUCAGUGGCGAACGGGUGAGUAAUACAUCGGAACGUACCUCGUAGUGGGGGAUAACUCGGCGAAAGCCGUGCUAAUACCGCAUAUGCUCUACGGAGGAAAGCAGGGGACCGCAAGGCCUUGUGCUAUGGGAGCGGCCGAUGUCCGAUUAGCUAGUUGGUGAGGAAUGGCUCACCAAGGCGACGAUCGGUAGCUGGUCUGAGAGGAUGAUCAGCCACACUGGGACUGAGACACGGCCCAGACUCCUACGGGAGGCAGCAGGUGGGGUAAUUUUUGGACAAUGGGGGCGAACCCUGAUCCAGCCAUGCCGCGUGCGGAAGA
rnacentral:rRNA from 1 species